rnacentral:rRNA from 1 species
GAGCUUGCUCUCGGGUGACGAGUGGCGGACGGGUGAGCAAGUCUGGGAAACUGCCUGAUGGAGGGGGAUAACUACUGGAAACGGUAGCUAAUACCGCAUAAUGUCGCAAGACCAAAGAGGGGGACCUUCGGGCCUCUUGCCAUCAGAUGUGCCCAGAUGGGAUUAGCUAGUAGGUGGGGUAACGGCUCACCUAGGCGACGAUCCCUAGCUGGUCUGAGAGGAUGACCAGCCACACUGGAACUGAGACACGGUCCAGACUCCUACGGGAGGCAGCAGUGGGGAAUAUUGCACAAUGGGCGCAAGCCUGAUGCAGCCAUGCCGCGUGUAUGAAGAAGGCCUUCGGGUUGUAAAGUACUUUCAGCGGGGAGGAAGGUGUUGUGGUUAAUAACCACAGCAAUUGACGUUACCCGCAGAAGAAGCACCGGCUAACUCCGUGCCAGCAGCCGCGGUAAUACGGAGGGUGCAAGCGUUAAUCGGAAUUUACUGGGCGUAAAGCGCACGCAGGCGGUCUGUCAAGUCGGAUGU